rnacentral:rRNA from 1 species
UAGGGUGCGAGCGUUGUCCGGAAUUAUUGGGCGUAAAGAGCUCGUAGGCGGUCUGUCGCGUCGAUCGUGAAAACUUGGGGCUUAACCCUGAGCUUGCGGUCGAUACGGGCAUGACUGGAGUUCGGCAGGGGAGACUGGAAUUCCUGGUGUAGCGGUGAAAUGCGUAGAUAUCUGGAGGAACACCGGUGGCGAAGGCGGCAUCCUGGACCAACACUGACGCUGAGGAGCGAAAGCCAGGGGAGCAAACGGG